CUCCGCGUGGCGCAAUUGGCAGACGCGCUCGCUUUAAAAGCUUGUUGGUUGCCGGUUCGAAGCCGGCCGCGGAGA
rnacentral:tRNA from 1 species